CUGAUGAAAAGUGAUGGCGAAUGUACUACUGUAAUCUGUACUCCUGUAGCGGCGAAAUAGGAAUCAAGCCGCACUGAGGGAAAUCACAGCAGCAUACCAGAGGCUACGAGAAGAUUACGAGGUGCAAUGCCUCUAAUCAUGGAAGUCGACGCACCACGGCACCGUAGCUCACCGCUACGGGAGUCAAGUUCCGGAUGAGCUGCUGCCAAGGUCAGCAGGAUGCAGUGAUAAGCUUCUACAGUUGGUCCGGAUGCUGUGUUCCUGACUUCACACUCACCGCAACAGACUACACACUGCGCGUCCGCUGUCCAGGCGGACUGCGGACUCAACAUUCGACGGGGCCAGAUGACUACUGCCAGAUCAUCGACG